rnacentral:rRNA from 1 species
UACGUAGGGGGCGAGCGUUGUUCGGAUUUACUGGGCGUAAAGGGCGCGUAGGCGGCCCUUCAAGUCAGGCGUGAAAGCCCCGGGCUCAACCUGGGAGGUGCGCUUGGGACUGGAGGGCUGGAGUUCGGGAGAGGAGCGUGGAAUUCCCAGUGUAGAGGUGAAAUUCGUAGAUAUUGGGAAGAACACCGGUGGCGAAGGCGGCGCUCUGGACCGAGACUGACGCUGAGGCGCGAAAGCGUGGGGAGCAAACAGG